rnacentral:rRNA from 1 species
CCUACGGGAGGCAGCAGUGGGGGAUAUUGGACAAUGGAGGGAACCCUGAUCCAGCGACGCCGCGUGAGUGAAGAAGUAUCUCGGUAUGUAAAGCUCUAUCAGCAGGGAAGAAAAACUGACGGUACCUGCGUCAGCAUCCCCGGCUAACUACGUGCCAUCAGCCGCGGUCAUACGUAGGGGGCAGGCGUUAUCCGGAAUUACUGGGUGUAACGGGAGCGUAUACGGUGAUGUAAGUCUGGAGUGAAAGGCGGGGGCCCAACCCCCGGACUGCGCUGGAAACUAUGUGACUGGAGUGCAGGAGAGGUGAGCGGAAUUCCUAGUGUAGCGGUGAAAUGCGUAGAUAUUAGGAGGAACACCAGUGGCGAAGGCGGCUCACUGGACUGUAACUGACGUUGAGGCUCGAAAGCGUGGGGAGCAAACAGGAUUAGAUACCCGUGUAGUC